AUCCAGCUGACGAGUCCCAAAUAGGACGAAACACGCGUUCCGGAU
rnacentral:hammerhead_ribozyme from 1 species